rnacentral:rRNA from 1 species
CAAUAGCGUAUAUUAAAGUUGUUGCGGUUAAAAAGUUCGUAGUUGGAUUUCUGCCAAGGACGACCGGUCCGCCCUCUGGGUGAGUAUCUGGCUUGGCCUGGGCAUCUUCUUGGAGAACGUUGCUGCACUUCGCUGUGUGGCGCGGUAUCCAGGACCUUUACUUUGAGGAAAUUAGAGUGUUUCAAGCAGGCUUCGCCUUGAAUACAUUAGCAUGGAAUAAUAAGAUAGGACCUCGGUUCAUUUUUUGUUGGUUGCUAGAGCCGGGGUAAUGAUUAAUAGGGAUAGUUGGGGGCAUUCGUAUUUAACUGUCAGAGGUGAAAUUCUUGGAUUUGUUAAAGACGGACUAGUGCGAAAGCAUUUGCCAAGGAUGUUUUUAUUGA